GACGAACGCUGGCGGCGUGCUUAACACAUGCAAGUCGAACGGAAAGGCCCUGCUUUUGUGGGGUGCUCGAGUGGCGAACGGGUGAGUAACACGUGAGUAACCUGCCCUUGACUUUGGGAUAACUUCAGGAAACUGGGGCUAAUACCGGAUAGGAGCCCCUGCUGCAUGGUGGGGGUUGGAACGUUUCGGCGGUUGGGGUUGGACGCGCGGCUUAUCAGUUUGUUGGUGGGGGAGUGGCUUACCCAGGCAUUGACUGGUAGCCGGCAUGGGAGGGUGAACGGCACCAUUGGGACUGAGAUACGGCCCAGUCGGCAACGGGAGGCAACAGUGGGGAAUAUUGCACAGUGAGCGGGAGCCGGAUGAGGCAGCGCCGCGUGCGGGAAGACGGCUUUCGGGUAGUAAACCGCUGUCGCCUGUGACGAAGCGUGAGUGACGGUAACGGGUAAAGAAGCACCGGCUAACUACGUG
rnacentral:rRNA from 1 species